rnacentral:misc_RNA from 1 species
GAUGAAGAACGUAGUGAAAUGCGAUAAGUAAUGUGAAUUGCAGAAUUCAGUGAAUCAUUGAAUCUUUGAACGCACCUUGCGCCCUUUGGCUAUUCCGAAGGGCAUGCCUGUUUGAGUAUCAUGAACACCUCAACUCUCAUGGCUUGCCAUGAUGAGCUUGGACUUUUGGUGGUCUUGCUGGCCUGUGGUCAGCUCCUCUCAAAUGAAUUAGCCUGCCAGUGUUUGGUGGCAUCACAGGUGUGAUAACUAUCUACGCUUGUGGUUUUCCACCAGGUAACCUUCAGUGAUGAAGGUUCGCUGGGGCUCAUAAACGUCUCUCCUCAGUGAGGACAGCUCUUUGAACGUUUGAUCUCAAAUCAGGUAGGACUACCCGCUGAACUUAAGCAUAUCAAUAAGCGGAGGA